rnacentral:lncRNA from 1 species
UACAAGAUCCCUCCUAUUUUUUUAACCAUCAACUAGUUAAAAGGUGACACAUGUCCACUUUUUAAUUAAAAAUAAAAUAAUAAAAUAUUAAAACAAAACAACAAGAAAAGAGAAACAAAUCUCCUCCCUCAAGUUUCUCGUGUCCUUUCUUCUUUCUUCUUUUUCACUAUAUUUUUUCUUUUUCUUUCUUCCUCAUUCUUUCACUUCA